AGUUAAGAAGCGCUGCAAACUGAAUGAGAAGCUCACGCUUCUGUGUGGUCAUGUUUCUCCAGUAUUACCUCAACGAGGAAGGAGACCGGGUCUACACGCUGAAGAAGCUUGACCCUAUGGGACAGCAGACCUGCUCGGCCCACCCUGCUCGGUUCUCCCCAGACGACAAAUACUCUCGACACCGAGUCACCAUCAAGAAACGCUUCAAGGUGCUCAUGACCCAGCAACCGCGCCCCGUCCUCUGAGGAUCUCUUGAAAUUUCACGUCUCUUCUGCCGCCUGCUAGCCCUCAGGAGACUUUCUGAAACCAAGCUCUUCCAUCUGUGAGCCUUGAAGUCUUGCUACGACCCUUGCUCCUUGCAUCCGGUCUCAUCCUUGCCUUUGAUUAUGCUUGUGGUGAGGCCAUCAUGGUAGCAUCCCCUUUAAAGGGAAGAUGUUUGAAUCUUCUUUGCAUACUUUGAGUCACUGCCAGGUUAUUAAAAUGAUUUGAAAGAGCUCUUAUUUUGUAUGUUGUGGGAAGAAAGGAGUGGUUUAAAAACGAAAACGAGGGAGAUGAGAGGGAAGAGUGCCCCAGGGGUACAAAAGACCACUUGGAAGAGAAACUUUGGUGGCUUCUGUAGCAGGAGCAGUGCUGUGCUUUGAGUCUUAGAAGCGUGCUGGGGAUGGGGAAGAGAGCUUGAGAAAGACUCCUGUGCAGCUGUCAGCAUCCACUAAAAAUACCCGUGUGUGCUCACUUAAGUAAUUUUUUUGUCCGUUGAAAUGACAUCUGACUGAAAAUGGAAGAGUUGCUUGAAAAAUAACAGCAGCUAUAUUGUAGAGAAAAGGCAUUGAAUUGGAAGCCAGGAGACCAGGAUUCUCCCCUCUCUGAAUACCUUUGAGAAAGUCAAUCUGUUUAGUUCCAUUUUUCUCAUCAUUUCUAAUUGCUCUUCUAACUCUAAUAUUGAUAGGGUUCAGUGGUGGAGCUUAAUGUACCUACAGUGUUUGUCCAACCGUUGUGAAUAGGAAUGCCUUUAUUUACCACCCCUCUGGAAAUAUUCCCAGGCUUUUAGUUCUCUCUUAUAUACACCUAACUUUAUAUUCUUUCUGGUAGCUAGCUGGUAUGUGGAACUCUACAUGGAUUUUAAUUUAGAAGAUGAGGUAUGAGAGAUUCGAGCAGGGAUUUUUGUUGUUUUUCAAACUACUCUUGGGGGUUAAUUUUUUUUUUUUUUUUUUUAAAUCCUGGAAGAUUUCUUAGGACUUGAGCUUCUAUUAUGGAGCACCCAUAAAAUUUUAAUCCAAUUACUUCAUAUUAGAGGGAAGAUGAGGGAAAAUAUCAUAUAUAGGCAUUCAAGAAAUGCUAGCCUCUUCCUUUCCUUAUCAAGUUAAUCAAGUCAGUAUUUCCCAGUCUUCUCAUUCAUGGCCUUUGACAUUGAAUUUGAAUGUUUGCUUAGUGCCACUGAUUUUUAAAUUGCUUUCUGAAGUUUGCAUUCCAAUGAUACAAUCUUCUUUUUCUACAAUAUCAAAGAUUCUAGACUCCAGAAGCAGAUGUAACUUAAAUCAGCACAAAUUUGAUUUAUCAAGACUGGCCCUGGAAAGGAGUAAAUAUGUUUCUCAUGGACUCUGAUGUCUGACUGUCCUGGCAGAAAAGUUCAGGAUAGUUGUUGACUGCUGAGAAAAAAACAUCUCUAGACUUGGGUCAUAGUUAAUAGAAGACAUGAUUUUCAAUCAGUUACUUAAAUUUAUGAGAAUGGUGAAAUGAGAUAAUUAUUUCCUGUCAAGCAAUUUUUUAUUUCUUAGCCUGUUCACUGAACAAGGUUCUUAGCAUAGAAUCUGAGGGAUUUUAAAGAGUCAUCCUAUCCUAUUAGGGGUUAAUGAUCAAAGAAAUGUUAGAAAUUCUGCAAAUGACUAGGAAAAGUAUCUGCUAUGGAAGUUUUUUUAAGAACUAAAGUCAGGGGAGUUCCCUGACAGUCCAGUGGUUAGGACUCUGAGCUUCCACUGUUGGGGGGUUCAGGUUCGAUCCCUGGUCGGGGAGCUAAGAUCUGGCAUGGCCAAAAUAAAAAAGAAAAGAACCGAAGUCAGUAAACGAAUGCUAUCAUUUUUUUAAAAUGUUGACUGUGAUUUUGUCUUUAUAAGUUACCCCCCCACCAAAAAAAGGAUUAUCAUUUUCCAUGCUACUUAUUGUGUAGACUGUAAUGGAAAGGCAAAUUGGUGUGAAUAUACCGAAAAUUUUUUUCCUUAAGAGAUCUCCUAGGUCUGAGCACAUUGUGUGAUGUGCUCAGAAAUGGGAGAAGAGUCUUAAGAAGUAUAGUAUAAAGUGAAUGAAAAUACACUGUGGUAUGAAACAAAAUUCGAUGUUGUAGAAAUCCAGGAUUUUUUUUUUAAAUGAAGGGAAAGUCUGUAAGAUUUGAAUGAACAGCAGGCAUGCCUGAGGAGAAAACUGAUCCCUCAGUAAAUUUCUUCCUUCCUCAAGUAAGAAAGCUGUAAGGCUGAAUGAAUAAUCACAGGCUUUAUAACGAAUCAAGCUUUGAGGAGAUUUACAUUUUAAAUAGGAAUUUAGUUUCCAUUCUGUUACCUGGAUCUUUUAAACCGGACAUUGGACUUUGUGUGUCAUUUGAUAAAAGGGAAUUUACUGGCUCACAUCUUAAAUACAGUUGUGAUCUAUUACUAGGGAUGAUCUUAAACAUUUCCACUUGUGCUGAGCAAGGACCCAGACAAAGCCAGGGCCCAGAUUGUUGAAUUUAAAUGUCUGGGUAAAUAACAAGGUCCUGUGGUAUAGCACAGGGAACUAUAUUCAACAUCCUUGAUAAACUAUAAUGGAAAAGAAUAUUAAAAAAAGGAUGUCUCUAUGUGUAUAACUGAGUCACUUUGCUGUACAGCAGAGAUUGGCACAGCAUUGUAAAUCAACUGUAAUUCAAUGAAAAAAUAAAAUUAAUGUCUGAUC
rnacentral:tRNA from 1 species